rnacentral:miRNA from 1 species
AGUGAUAUUAUCAAAGUAUUGU